rnacentral:rRNA from 1 species
GACGAACGCUGGCGGCGUGCUUAACACAUGCAAGUCGAACGGAGUGGCGAACGGGUGAGUAACAAGUAGGUGAUCUGCCUUGCACUACGGGAUAAGCUUGGGAACCUGGGUCUAAUACCGGAUAGUGCAAGAUGAGCUCGCGGCCUAUCAGCUUGUUGGUGGGGUAAUGGACUACCAAGGCGUCGACGGGUAGCCGGCCUGUGAGGGUGUACAGCCACAUUGGGACUGAGAUACGGACCAGACGCCAACGUGAGGCAGCCGUGGGGAAUAUUGCACAAUGGGCGGAAGCCUGAUGCAGCGGCGCCGCGUGUGGGAUGAAGGCCUUCGGGUUGUAAACUCCUUGCGACAGGGACGCGGUACCUGUAUAAGAAGCACCGGCUAACUACGUGCCAGCAGCCGCGGUAAUAC